GGGCAUACCGAGUUGGAUCGGGGCUCGGGCGAUCCUCCCACCCUUUGUGUACCUACCUCUGUUGCUUUGGCGGGCCGCGGUCCUCCGCGGCCGCCCCCCUCCCCGGGGGGGUGGCCAGCGCCCGCCAGAGGACCAUCAAACUCCAGUCAGUAAACGAUGCAGUCUGAAAAACAUUUAAUAAACUAAAACUUUCAACAACGGAUCUCUUGGUUCUGGCAUCGAUGAAGAACGCAGCGAAAUGCGAUAAGUAAUGUGAAUUGCAGAAUUCAGUGAAUCAUCGAAUCUUUGAACGCACAUUGCGCCCUUUGGUAUUCCGAAGGGCAUGCCUGUUCGAGCGUCAUUACAACCCUCAAGCUCUGCUUGGUAUUGGGCACCGUCCUUUGCGGGCGCGCCUCAAAGACCUCGGCGGUGGCGUCUUGCCUCAAGCGUAGUAGAACAUACAUCUCGCUUCGGAGCGCAGGGCGUCGCCCGCCGGACGAACCUUCUGAACUUUUCUCAAGGUUGACCUCGGAUCAUGUAGGGAUACCCGCUGAACUUAAGCAUAUCAAUAAGCGGAGGAA
rnacentral:rRNA from 1 species